rnacentral:miRNA from 10 species
AUGUACACAUCUCCAAGUUCAGACU